UUGACAGAUGAGAAAUAAAUGAAUGGUGGAAAUCUAUUGGAGAACUUAAUGUCAAUUCAACAGAGCUGGAAAUACGAAGCAGAGACACAAAGAUACGAGUAUGCAUGGAAUUUGGCGAGUUGGCAAAUUUGCAACCAGACACCAAGCUCGGCAAAGCAUUGAGGCAGAAAAACUGCAGUGGCAGCCAAUCAGAAAAAACCAAAAAAGAAAAAAGAAGACAAACAAGAGCAAAAGGAAUGUGAAACAACGUACAGUCGAACAAGGCGAACAAAAGGCAUCGAUAAAACGCGCUAAAAAUCGACUUGUAUGAUUUAUGAGCUAAAAGCUAAAAGGGGGGAGAAAGGAUAUGGAUAUGGAUUGAGGCUGAAUUGUUGUCAUCAUUUCAUUGUAUAAUCGCAAUCAAAAUGGACAUUAGAUGUAUUUCUUAUAGAACUACUUUCAAUGCAUAAAAUGUUGAUCUUUUUUGGUAUUCGAAUCGAUCCACAACGAGUAAAUUCAAAUAGGAGAGCAUUAAACACUCGCAAACGUUGUCUACAGGAUAUAUCGCAUAUGAUGAUGGCAAGAGCAGCGGAAACGGAAAUGGAGCUGGUGGAGCGCAUAAGGCGGCCAAUUGCCACGCCCAUCGGUCAUUGGGAAAAAAACACACACAAAAAAGGCGACAAAAAAUAAAGGCUGCGACUGCUCUCGUAUCGUGCUUGUUCAUUACGCGCCCGCGCGCAAACAAAAUCAAUGAAUGGUGUAAAAAUUAAUAUCCUGUGCGCAAAUAAAAAUUACAAAU